rnacentral:rRNA from 1 species
GCUGAAGACUUUACCAGACACGCUGAGAGGUGGUGCAUGGCCGUCGCCAGCUCGUGCCGUGAGAUGUCCUGUUAAGUCAGGUAACGAGCGAGACCCCUGCNNNNNGUUGCUACNNUUACUCUCUGGAGCAGUGGAGCGAAUUAGACGGACCGCCACAGUUAAUGUGGAGGAAGGAAGGGGCCACGGCAGGUCAGUAUGCCCCGAAACCCUAGGGCUACACGCGGGCUGCAAUGGUAUUGACAAUGUGUUCCGAAUCCGAAAGGAGGAGGCAAUCAUCAAACAAUAUCUCAGUUAUGACUGAGGGCUGUAACUCGCCCUCACGAAUA